GGGCGCGUAGCUCAGGGGUAGAGCGUCGCCCUUACAAGGCGAAUGUCGGCGGUUCGAAACCGUCCGCGCCCACCA
rnacentral:tRNA from 4 species